UCAGACGGUGAAAUACGUUAUCUUUAUCAGAUAAACAACUUUUUAAAAGAUCGGUAUCAAGUUUUUUUUUUUAUAAAAAGAAUAUUUGCUAGUUUCUUUUAAAGUGUUCAUACGAAUAAAAAAAGUGAUGAUUACUAAAGUGAUGAUUAUUAAAUAAUUACUUAAAGAAUAUUAAUAAUCUCGAUCAUAUAUUUCUGACGGAAUCAAGGAUGUGAUAACAAGAAAAUUUAAUCAACUAACCUUAAAAUAGUGCUUUGUUGAGAGUGCAAAUUUAAGUAUCAUCCAAAAAGAAUUAUAAACUUUAUUCUCUUAUGGGAAAAGUUAAAAAUUCUUUGAACGUCUUAAGAGAAGUCAGAAAGGACGGCAAGGAUGUUAUCAUUGACGUAUCUAAAACACACUGAUAGACUAAAUGGCUUUCUCUUCUACACAUAUCUUCAAAAGUAAUAUCAGCAAUGACUGGGAAAAGUAGAGAACUCUUAGAAUUAUUUGUAAAAUAAGUAUACAUAUAUGUAUAUAUCUACACAUGGCCGAUCUCAUAAGCAGCUGUAUUAGACGCUGCAAAACCCGAAGUUAUUUUUGCAAAUCCAGCACUAAAUUCUGCUACGGCGCACAAAUGAGUCUUGUUACACACAUUAUCGAACGAAGCUACUUCCUCCGUAGAAAAAUACAUUUGUUGAAAUUGCUCUAAAUAAAUAUCUAUUCCGGUUACGUAAAGAGCAAUGUCCCAGUGAAGUGGAUCAAUGCCAUCCGGAAUAUUUCGAGUAUUCAUGUAAUUGCUGAACGAAGUAAGUAGUUUUGUAUAGUCACCGUCGAAAACUGGCAAAUUUGACGGUUGCAUAUACAUAAUCUCCAGUUUUACCAACGAAAUAUCGAUAGGAAUACCCAAACUCGGAUGAUGGAACACAGUUUGGAUUUGAUUCACAUAUGCUAAUAUCACAUUGCGCAACUGUUCCUUAUCGUUAUCCACGACACAUAAAAAUAUUGUAUGCUGCUUUGUUAAAAAAAACGAACAAUUCUAUGGUUACUUUUUGUUCAGUAUUUCGUACGUAACGUCGCUUUGACUUGAAAUUGUCAAAAAAAUGAUAAAAAUUUGAAGUAGCAAAAUUUUGCGGUGAGUUUUUAAUGAGGUUUGCUGAAUGAAAGAUUCAUUUGUUCUACAACGCAAAUGUCGACUUCAAAACAAAGACGCAAGAUCGUUCCGCAAAGUUUUAAACUCCAAAUUGUCGUUUUUUAGAAAAACGAGUCCUUUAUAUAUUAAAAAAAAUUUAUUUGUUUCAUGCUUAUAUAUAAAAGAAAGAGCCAUGAAAGUUGAAUGCAGAAAUGAAAAUUUCAAAACAAUUCGUUUUUUACGUAAUACUACCGACCAAUCCAUGUUCGUCACAAAAGUUGAUAAUCGCCGAACUGACAUGAUUCUUGUGAAUAUAUAAACAAGGAUCCGAUGCUUUCAACUGCGGUAACUUUUCUGAAGCGCCUUUUACAUAAUAUUGCCAUAUUUUAUUCUCGGACGACACAAUCCGAUCGUUUCUAUGCAGGUUUAGUUGAAUCAGUUGUCCGAAAACUUUCAGAGUUAAUGGUAUCUGCAAAUUGUACGACGAUUAAAAAAUGACUUGAUUAUUCUCACAUAAUGUUUUAGACGUUGAGCAUUGAAUAAAGAAGUACAGUAAAACGCACGUACCUCCUUUGCAUCUGUCGGAUAACAUGCCGGCAACAAUAUUGUUUCGAUAUCUUGCAUAAUGUACGCGUACGUUUUAUUUAGUAAGAUUAUUAAUACCAAUUUCAGUAUAAAAAACAUGUUGCUUUAUCAGUUUUUCAAUUUUAGAUUUUAUAUUAAAUGAUUUAUAUAUACAUGUUAGAAUACUCUUAUGUUCGUUGUGUCUUACAUGAUCGCGUAUAACGCACGUACUGACAGAUGUAUUUAGGAAUUUAGGCUUCGUGUAGUUUGACAUAUUGUACAUUAUCUCUUUCCUACACGUAUAUGUAUAAAUAAUUUGUGUUUCUGAAACUAGAAUUUGAAAAGAGUGGUGGCCCUGACGAUAAUGAGAUAGGUUUAGAAAAUGCAUUUUAUUGCUAAUAUGUAUAAUAUGUACAAUACGUGUUAUUUUGAAACACGCGUGAGUUUAAUUAAUAACAAUUUAAUUUUAAGAAGUCAAUAAUUAAGAUUCAUAUAAAAAUUUGUUGUUCAGUACAUAUCCAUUAUGUCUCAAAAAUUACAUAAAAAUUCAAGUGAGUCAAUUGAAAUAAAACAAAAGAAAGAAAACAAGUAAUCAAAAAUAAAAUUACACAUAUUGCGAGAGAUAUUGUAGAUCACCAUUUUCUCACAUGCUUUUUGUGUAAUAAAUAAGAUUUUU